rnacentral:rRNA from 1 species
CCUACGGGGGGCAGCAGUGGGGAAUAUUGGGCAAUGGGCGCAAGCCUGACCCAGCAACGCCGCGUGAAGGAAGAAGGCUUUCGGGUUGUAAACUUCUUUUCUGAGGGACGAAGAAAGUGACGGUACCUCAGGAAUAAGCCACGGCUAACUACGUGCCAGCAGCCGGGGUAAUACGUAGGGGGCAAGCGUUAUCCGGAUUUAUUGGGUGUAAAGGGCGUGAAGGCGGGAAAGCAAGGCAGAUGUGAAUACUCAGGGAUCAAACCUGAGCCUGCAUUUGACACUGUUUUUCUUGAGUGCUGUAGAGGCAAGCGGAAUUCCGUGUGUAGCGGUGAAAUGCGUAGAUAUACGGAGGAACACCAGUGGCGAAGGCGGAUUGCUGGACAGUAACUGACGCUGAGGCGCGAAAGCGUGGGGAGCAAACAGGAUUAGAUACCCUAGUAGUC